AGCUUUGCGCAGUGGCAGUAUCGUAGCCAAUGAGGUUUAUCCGAGGCGCGAUUAUUGCUAAUUGAAAACUGACACCACAGAAACAUGAAGAAUUAUAAGAGAAUCCUACAAAAAAUUAUAUGCUACCAAAUUGG
rfam:Canis lupus familiaris chromosome 7, whole genome shotgun sequence.